rnacentral:lncRNA from 1 species
AGAACUGUGGGAAUUGGUGCUUAUCUUGCUCGUCUUGGCAUGCGGUGCAUACAGAGACUCGAUCAACCCAUUAUUUUGACUGGUUUCUCAGCAUUGAACAAACUUCUAGGUCGUGAGGUGUACAGCUCCCACAUGCAACUUGGUGGACCUAAAAUCAUGGCAACAAAUGGGGUUGUCCAUCUCACCGUUUCAGAUGAUCUUGAAGGGGUGUCAGCCAUAUUGAACUGGCUAAGUUGCAUUCCUCCUCGUAUAGGUGGUCCACUUCCCAUUUUAAAUCCAUCAGAUCCUCCAGAAAGGCUUGUGGAGUACUUACCUGAAAAUUCGUGUGAUCCUC